rnacentral:misc_RNA from 1 species
GCAAACUUGGUCAUUUAGAGGAAGUAAAAGUCGUAACAAGGUUUCCGUAGGUGAACCUGCGGAAGGAUCAUUACCGAGUGUCUGCCUUUUUCAAAGGCAACCUCCCGUCCUUUGCAGAGCCCUUCCGGGCUUUCAAACUUCUGCUUCGGCGGGGUUACCUGCCGAAAUAAACUCAAAAUUCUUGAUAAAACUGUUCUGUCCGAGGUCUUGAUAAUAGCGAAAACUUUCAACAACGGAUCUCUUGGUUCUGGCAUCGAUGAAGAACGCAGC